AUCGAUAUUGGAUUAAAUCAUCACCUAACUUUAUUUUUUAAUGUGUUGAAGGUGACAUUAGUAAAAUUGUAUUACGAUUGCCCCAUAGUUGUUUUAUUUUUAGAACACUACACAUAUCCGGAUGUUGCUAUUUUUAGAACCAGAAGGUAUUUCCCCGCUAUUCAUAGGUCAAUAAUGGAAUUUCUACAUCGUCGAUUAAUAGUUGGAAACUCGGUUUUGUCAUGAAUAUACGUUUAAAAUAAGUAAACACUAAAAGUGCACACUGACUGUUGAUUACGAUACAUCUAACAAUUUGAGUCAUUACAGUAAAACAUGGAUUAUAAGUGAAUUAUACGCUUAAGAGAAGAUUUUCUGUCGAAAAAACUAAUGUCAACAAUCAGCAUGGAACUGGGAUAUUCGUAUCAAAGGGCUAUUCAUGCAGGAAAAGGACUGAAUAUUACUAUUAUAUGAAGAAUUCCAGCCUGCAUUAAAUACUUUGUUGGAUCAUUGAGACAGAUUUGAAAUCCAUGUCUAUCCACAUCUGAUAGAGAUGAUCACUAAACAUUCUAGAUGGGUAAAGACCUGUUAAAUCAGCAUUGACUCAGCGUUGAGUAAUUUUCAUCUGUGCAGACACUACAAGUACAAACGCAUGGGAACAAACCAAACUUCAAAUGUUGAAGAGUGAAGAAUUAUUGUGAAAAGUUCUUAAUGUUAGAAUACCAUUGACUAAAUAAAACAAAUAGACAUUGAUUACCAACAGAGACUGUUUACAUGUUAUAAUAUUCAAAAGACAUUUAUAGUUGAGAACUUUCACUCUGACAUUUCUGGAGGGGCAUUACCGCCUACUUAGUGUUCUUGUUUCUUUACAUAUUUUAAUUUAAAAGUACAUUCAUUGUUUUUAAAUCUGAAUUCUGAGUUAGUAUCAUAAGUAAAAUUCAUUUAUUUGAAUGAUUACAUUUUAUGAAUAAGUCCAAUUGAGCUUUUUACAAGAAAAAGAUUGAUUUUUAAGCAUUUUAUUAGUUAUAAAAAUGUAUAGUUACAUGACAUUAUGUAUAUUUUCUUCAAAACUGAUCGGUAAACUAUCAUAAAUUGUCUUUUGAAUUGUUCAUUAGACAUCAUAGAAAAUAUUUAAAAGAUUUCAGCAGGUUGUCUUAUUAUUAACUAUUUUUUUAUGAAUGUAUAAAACUGCUUUAUAUUUUCAAACAUCGAAAUACUGCUCUGUUCCGAAGACUCACAAGAUCAAUCAAAAUGAUUUUUUUGCAUGUGUAUCAAUAAUAUGUUCGGUUGAACGUAAUUUUUCUGUUAACUGAAGUUUAUUUUACCAGAAACUGUUGUGUUUAUUUCAUAAUCUCUGAUAAUGUGAAAAAAAAAUCAAAUAAAGACAAAAUAUUUUUAAUUAACAGUAAAAAAUCUUCAACAUUUGGAUAAAAGUCCCAUAACGUACCAUGAUAAUGACUAUGUUGUCCGUAAAAGCUUUAUAAAUGUGUGUAUUACUCAUACCUUAAUUCAGUUCAAAUAAUUAUGGUCUUUAAGGAUUUGUGUUUUCAUAAUAUAGAUUUCCUGUUAUAUUGAGCUUUGUCAAUUUGUGUUUAUGUUUUGUUUUAUGUACAAUUACUACUUCUAUUUCCUAACUUUUGUCUCAUUUGUCAAAUUGAAUUGUUACAUAUUUAAGUGAAAAAACACACACACUAUUUUUAAAGAUGCACUCUUACUCCCCAAUAAGACUUAUGAUAAUUAAUAUUAUUGUUUUCAUUUUUCAAAAUGGGUUGAUAGAUGUCAACAACAAUGUUUCUAAUGAAGGAUCUUGAGUUCAAUUUGCUAAUAAGAAUGAACUUAAAACAUGGUAUUUCUGCCUUGUGAUACUAUAGUAGACCACAGUAAAUCUUUUAGCAAUCACCAAUUGAUCAUUUAAUAUUUGUCAUGCAUUCUGCUAUUAUAAACAGGGUGACAAGCUUGUUAUCAGUAAACGAUAUUUCAGUAAAUGCAUUAUUUAGUAAGUAGUUAUUGUUUUUUUUUCAUGUGUGUUAUAUAUACAAUUAUAUGUAUUAAUUUCAAAUAAGAGUUUCACUUUAACAAUGCUCAUUUAAAGAUAAUGAAAAGACACACAAAAACUAGACACAUGUGAAGAUAUUCAUAAAGGGGUGUUCUUCAUGUUAUUAUACAUUUUGGACUUAAUUUAGUAUUGCUUUUCUGGUAUAUAUUCAUUUAAUGCACAAAGAAAUUAUUUUAAGUGUUCAGUAUCACUUUCACACAUUGUUUACUAUUAUUUUUUUUUUGCAUAUUUGGCCUAUUUAUGCUUAUAUGUGCAUUGUUGUAUUUCAAAACCUUUGUGAAAAAUAGAAACAGUAUUAUUUCCUUCAUACAUAGUCUGAUACAUAUUCAGUUUGAAUGCGUUAUUUUUAUCAUAUUUGAAAAAAAAGCCAUUGUCCAAUAAGACACAUGCUGUUUUUGUGUUAAUAUCAACUAAAACAUCCAUUUUCUACUCUUCUUUACUAUGUAAAUGAAGAAGUUAAC